UCGAUUUAAGGAAAAAAGAGGUAACUAAAACUAACACAAAGGCUCCGAAUGGUGACUGCGUUUUGCGGUGCGGGAGAAGUGCGGUGCGGUUCAAAUAGUAACGAAAAUACAUAUGUAGAGAUUUUGAUACUGUUACAGCACUGUUGCAGUGCGGUUUUAGGUGCGAUUUUGGUUAACAUUAACAGCCAAAAUCUAUUAUCCCUACGCCUACCAAUAUAAAGUU
rnacentral:sRNA from 1 species